rnacentral:rRNA from 1 species
AAACUAACAAGGAUUCCCCUAGUAACGGCGAGUGAAGCGGGAUGAGCUCAAGCUUAAAAUCUCUGUGCCAGUUUGGCAUGGCGAAUUGUAGUCUAUGGAGGCGCUGUCAGUGCGAUUGUUCGGGGUAAGUUCCUUGGAAGAGGACAGCAUCGAGGGUGAUACUCCCGUAUGUACCUGUUCAGUCGCGCGUACGACACGUUUUCUUCGAGUCGCGUUGUUUGGGAAUGCAGCGCAAAGUAGGUGGUAAAUUCCAUCUAAAGCUAAAUAUUGGUGCGAGACCGAUAGCGAACAAGUACCGUGAGGGAAAGAUGAAAAGAACUUUGAAAAGAGAGUUAAAGAGUACCUGAAACUGCUGAAAGGGAACCGAAUCGUUUCCAGUGUCUAUAAUCCAUGGUAUAUUUCAUUGGCGCGUGAGUGCGUGCAGCGUUUUGGAAGCGGUCUCCGCUCCUGUCGUUGUUGUGCAUUUGCUUGCUGGUGCCCUGUGCUGUGGUGGGACGUCAGAGUCAGUUUGUAUGUUGCGGGAAAUGGUUAUCAGGGAGGUAGGUCGCUUCGGUGGCUGUUAUAUCCUGGUAACUAGUCGUCGUGGCUGAGACUGAGGUGCCUACAACGCGCUUUCGAGUCUGCGGGCUUCUCGUGUGGCUGUUUGCUUUGAUAGCUUGCUAUGUUGGCGAAUAAGUCGUGCGAUUGAGACCUGUAGUAACUUGUUGCCGUUCGGGACUUUGACGAAAUGGAGCGAUCCGAC